CACAUUUCUUUUAAUAUUUCUAUGUUUUGUAGUAACCAAGAGAAGUGUCAUUGCUGAAGGAAUGGCAGACAUUACUCAGACACUUGUGAACAUUGAACAGUGCUUUGAGUCCAAAACAGUGGACAUCACCUUUAUUAUCUGAUUGAACUAGCAAGGAGCAUUAGAGCUAAUGAGAAAGUAAGUUCAAGUAAAAUGUCUGCAUUGACCAUUUCACCGUGUUAUUUUCUUCAGUAACUGUGGGGAAUAUUAACUGAGGAGACCUGAUCAACAGCAAGCUUUGGAUCUACUGAAUGUGUAUUUUUCAAGAAUUUUAUUGAAGUGUUCAAUGUUAUAUUUCUGCAUAGCGAUGAAUGGUGAAAAGUGUUUAUUCAUUUACUUCAAUGUAUAGUUAACCAGAAUUGUCAUUUAUGGUUUACCAAACCCCUGACAUUUGUUUUUCUGCAGAACUCAAAAGAAGAUACUUUGAAGAAUGCUGGUAAUCAAACCCAAGAGGUUUGUCAGGUAUGGACAGUAUCAAGGGGACUAAAUGAUUUUCAUUUUUUGGGUGCAGAAAGGAAAGCUCCCAAACAAAGAUGUCACCAGAUUAAGAAGUGGAAAGACAUGUUACACCACCGCAGCCAUAAAUCCUGAGCGAUUUGAAAGGGGGCAACAACCAAGGAAAAGUACUCAUUGUUUCACUCAAAAAUGAUCCAUGGUAAUAGUUGUACAGUAAAUGAUUAGAUAAAUAAAAGUACAAAAUGUUUUUAAUUUUAAAACUUUGCCGUUUACUAAUGUGUUGUUCAAAACACUAAGUUUUGGUGUAUCUUUACAAUUAAGGUAUCAUUAGUUAACAUUAGUAAAUGUUGAAAUUAACAUUAAAUAACAAUGAGCAAUACAUUUGUUACAAUUUGCAUUAAUCUUUGAUGCUGUCAAAAAAAAAAAAACUGUUCGUUGUUUGUUAGUUCAUGUUAGCGCUGAUCCAUUAAAUAAUGUCAACAGGCACAACUUUAUUUCUUAAUAAUGUAUUAGUAAAUGUUGAAAUUAAAUAGUUUAGUAUAUAAACUACAGUUAACUAAGGUUACUGUUAAGUAUUUGCCAUGUUAGUUCAUGUUGGGUAGGUAACUAAUGUUAACAAAUGAAACCAUAUUGUAAAUUGUAAAGUGUCACCUGAGUGUUUAUUGUUUAUACAUGUUAAAUUUAAGUAUACUUUGUUUAAAGUAUAAAUAAAUGCAAGGGUAAUUUCGCUAAAUUUUAUGUUUUAUGUAUAUACUUUCUGUAUUAGCCUACUUGUUAUCAACUGGUAAAAAUAAGCUGUCCAUGAUUGAAGUGGAGCGGGAAAACAGUUAAACAAAGGUCUAAAUAAAACGAGGAGAAGCGUUGUGGAAAAUAAUACCGCGAUCCAAGAUAUCCUCUCCGGAGGGGGUUACACCUCAAAGCAGUUAAAAGCAGUAAUUUUCCGAUUCGCGAAACAGAAAACAGUUCAUUUGCACUGGUUGCGCUUUGCGCCAGUUCAUAUGCCUACAGUAGGCUCAUUGUGGCAGUUUCCAUUAGUAGCCGAAUACACAUUCAUUUCGCGGUUUUUGAUCGUUUCCGCAAUGAGUAGGCUACUGCUUUUAGAAGAAUGCUAGUGUACGCAUUUGAAUGGAGCUAAUAUAGGCUACUGUACAGUAUCUUUUAUAAGCUCUUAGCAACAAUUGUGGGUAGCUGGAGGUAAAGGGUGGAUGUUAAUUAAAACAUCGUGUUUGAUGUUACCAUCGCUUUUAUAGCCUAAGGAUCAUGAAAGAAUAUAAAAAUUAAUAUUUUGGUACAAAAGUGUUUGUAAGCGCGGCUAUGCAGCAGCAGCAGCAGUAUCCACGAGGAGAGCGAGUGUCCCAGAGGAACUAUCACUGAACGGAAUUCCCUCGCGCACAAACCCAUAUUAGCUCGCGCAUGGCGUCAUUUAGCGCUUCAGCUGACCAGCGGAGUGCUGCUGCACGAGCCGAGGAAAACUGCAGCGCAUCCGCACCACGCACAGAAUACCAAUCAGCUCUAGGCACCCCCCUCUCUCUCUCUGUCUUUGGGUUAGCUACUGAUUAAAGUGACUCCAGAGAAUUUCUUGGAAACCUAUGCAACCUGUGUGUGUAUGAAAAUUUACUCACCCUCUGGCCAUCCAAGAUGUAGAUGAGUUUGUAUCUUCAAUGGAACAGAUUUGGAGAAAUGUAGCAUUGCAUCACUUGCUCAGCAAUGGAUCCUCUGCAGUGAAUGGGUGCCGUCAGAAUGAGAGUCCAAACAGCUGAUAAAAACAUCACAAUAAUCCACACAACUCCCUUUAUUUAACACCUUGUGAAGUGAAAAGCUUUGUGUUUGUAAGAAACAAAUCCAUCAAGGUGUUUUAACAUUAGGCUGUGCACUGAGUCCAUAAUCCAUAUAUAUAUAUAUAUAUAUAUAUAUAUAUAUAUAUAUAUAUAUAUAUAUAUAUAUAUAUAUAUAUAUAUAUAUAUUUAGAGCAAAUUAUAG
ensembl:lncRNA